UGCAGCUCAGCUGCUGGCAGCUCCAUAUCAGGAGCACCAGACUCCAGGACUGCCUUGAGGUUAAGAGACUGGAGGGCUCAGUUUCAAUAAAUAAUACACAGUCUCAGGUACAACGCACCUGCAAGUAUCUGCUGUGCAGCAUCACUGUCUCCAUCUCUCCCAGACUCAGCAGGGCACCUGUUGUCUGUGGAGCCACUCUGGAAAAAGCUGGUAUCCUGACAACCAGGAACACCUUCCAAGCAAGAUGAAGAAAACCACGCCUGUAGUGAAAGACUGAAUCUCAGCUCAGUUGACCGCCAGAUCCCCAGUCCUUCAGCAAUGCAGCUUACCAUGUUUGUUUCUCUCCUGUGACAUGGAAUCUCAAGGCAGUGUUAAACCAUUCAGCACUGCAGUCUGGCCAGCCUGCAUAAAUCGCCUGCUCCCUUUCACAGCCUUGCCUGAAAAUAAAGCGACUGCACACAGACAGCGGCGGCAGCAUAUGAAAAUGAAGCCAGGGCUUCCUCGGAGCUUUUCUGCUUGCAUAGCAGUGCAGUGUAUUUCAAUUAACAUCCAACCUUCUCCAACAGUGCUACUUCAGUAUCUGUAAGAGUCUGCCUUUUAGAAUUUAAUACUCAGACAGCCAUUUUGCAAAAACAAAAAACAAAAAACAAACCC
ensembl:antisense uncharacterized LOC110318395